GGCGAACUGGUGAGUAACACGUGGGAAACCUGCCCACAAGCGGGGGAUAACACCUGGAAACAGAUGCUAAUACCGCAUAACAACUUGGACCGCAUGGUCCGAGCUUGAAAGAUGGCUUCGGCUAUCACUUUUGGAUGGUCCCGCGGCGUAUUAGCUAGAUGGUGGGGUAACGGCUCACCAUGGCAAUGAUACGUAGCCGACCUGAGAGGGUAAUCGGCCACAUUGGGACUGAGACACGGCCCAAACUCCUACGGGAGGCAGCAGUAGGGAAUCUUCCACAAUGGACGAAAGUCUGAUGGAGCAACGCCGCGUGAGUGAAGAAGGGUUUCGGCUCGUAAAACUCUGUUGUUAAAGAAGAACAUAUCUGAGAGUAACUGUUCAGGUAUUGACGGUAUUUAACCAGAAAGCCACGGCUAACUACGUGCCAGCAGCCGCGGUAAUACGUAGGUGGCAAGCGUUGUCCGGAUUUAUUGGGCGUAAAGCGAGCGCAGGCGGUUUUUUAAGUCUGAUGUGAAAGCCUUCGGCUCAACCGAAGAAGUGCAUCGGAAACUGGGAAACUUGAGUGCAGAAGAGGACAGUGGAACUCCAUGUGUAGCGGUGAAAUGCGUAGAUAUAUGGAAGAACACCAGUGGCGAAGGCGGCUGUCUGGUCUGUAACUGACGCUGAGGCUCGAAAGUAUGGGUAGCAAACAGGAUUAGAUACCCUGGUAGUCCAUACCGUAAACGAUGAAUGCUAAGUGUUGGAGGGUUUCCGCCCUUCAGUGCUGCA
rnacentral:rRNA from 1 species